rnacentral:rRNA from 1 species
GACGAACCGAGCGAACGUUGUUCGGAAUCACUGGGCUUAAAGGGCGCGUAGGCGGCCUGCCAAGUCAGGAGUGAAAUCUUUCGGCUCAACCGGAAAAGUGCUUUUGAUACUGGCGGGCUAGAGGGAGAUAGGGGCAUGUGGAACUUCCGGUGGAGCGGUGAAAUGCGUUGAUAUCGGAAGGAACGCCGGUGGCGAAAGCGACGUGCUGGACCUCUUCUGACGCUGAGGCGCGAAAGCCAGGGGAGCGAACGGG